UUUCGUACGUCAAACCGAAACACCGAGGGAACCGUUAGCUCUUCAUCUAUACGCAACCGAAACGACUCAUUUUUAGGGGACGCGCUGCCCGACCCGCGAGCUCUGCGCCAGGUGACAAGGGAGGGGGAGGAUUAAAGAAGUGCAAGCUUGGAGCAGAGUAAGGAAGAAUGUGGUGAAAGAAAGUAAUCACCUCUUUUGCAUGGCAAAGGAUGAGGUAACAAACUGAAACACAGGAAAUUAUAUCUGCAUAUGAGAAAAAACUUUAAUAUUUUGAGAGUGACUGAGUACUGGAACAGGCUGCCCAGAGAGAUUGUGGAGUCUCCUUCUCUGGAGAUAUUCAGAACCCACAUGGACAUGAUCCAAGUACUCUAGGUGACUGCUUGAAGCAAGGUUGGAUCAUUGUUCUAUGAUUCUCUGAGUAGAUGAUCCCAAGUGGUCCUUUCCAACCCCACCCAAUUGUGAUAGAUGAAUGCCAGAACAGCACUGAACUGAUGAAUAAAGGGUACCCUGUCAGAUUCCAGAAAUUCCAAGGCUAUACUGUUCAAAUGUUUCAAUAACCUAUUAAAAACUUUUCCACUAUUACUUUCUACAAAA